UGCCAGCCGCCGCGGUAAUACGGAGGGAGCGAGCGUUAAUCGGAAUUACUGGGCGUAAAGCGCGCGUAGGCGGCUUUGUAAGUCGGAUGUGAAAGCCCUGGGCUCAACCUGGGAAUGGCAUUCGAUACUGCAUGGCUAGAGUAUGGUAGAGGGAAGUGGAAUUUCCGGUGUAGCGGUGAAAUGCGUAGAUAUCGGAAGGAACACCAGUGGCGAAGGCGACUUCCUGGACAGAUACUGACACUGAGGCACGAAAGCGUGGGGAGCAAACAGGAUUAGAUA
rnacentral:rRNA from 1 species